GAUGAACGCUGGCGGCGUGCUUAAUACAUGCAAGUCGAGCGGACAGAGGAGGUUCUUGCUUCUCUGAGGGUAGCGGCGGGGGGGGGAGCGAGUCGAGGAUAACCUACAUAGAAAGCUGGGAUAACUUCAGGAAAACGCAGCUAACACCGGAUAAGAUAAUAAACCACAUUAGUCAUUAGAGAAAGAUGGUCUUGGUGUGAGAGAUAGGUGGAUCAGCGACGCGUUAGCUAGUUGGUAAGUCAACGACUCGCCAAGGCAACGAUGCGUAGCCGAGCUGAGAGGGUGAUCGGCCACACUGGAAUGGUGACACGGUCCAGACUCUUACGGGAGGCAGCAGUAGUGAAACGUCCGCAAUGGGCGAAAGCCUGACGGAGAAACGCCGCGUGAGUGAUGAAGGUCUUCGGAUCGUAAAACUCUGUUAUUAGGAAAGAACAAUUGUGUAAGUAACUAUGAACGUCUUGACGGUACCUAAUGAGAAAGCCACGGCUAACUACGUG
rnacentral:rRNA from 1 species